AAAGCCAGCCCUGACUAUAUCCUUCAAUGUCAGCCGUACAUCCUGUUCCUGCGUUCCUUAUAUUUUGGUAAGGUGGAAUCCGAAAAUCCAGGAGAUUCGAAGACCUGAAUUCCAUCCGACCGCAUACGAAAGAGAACUGAAUAAUGUAGAAAGGAGGGGUUGAUAUUUCUAAUUGAAUUUUUUCAUGCCGACAUGGGUUUUUGCGGUUCAGUUGUUGUGGAGUAGAUUUAGCCCUAUCAUGGUUAUAUUUUCAACAUGUGCUAAUAGAUAUGACAGAUGGAGUGGAAUCAAAACAUCUUUUGGGGGCCAACGCUACAAAAUUACGAACCAACCGAUGACAGAUUGUGGAUAAGAAUGCAGAAUGAAAAACUCCGGUUUAUGAGUCCCGGACUAAAAAGGACGAACAUAUGGAAGUUUCCGGACAAGGACGCACGUACCUGCGACCCUCCACUAAUGAAUUGAAAGUCUAUUUCAACAAUGGCAACAAUGUCAAUAGACACACAUGUACGAGGGGGAGGAGUGGGAGGACACAGGAUACAAUCCCCGUCUUGAUUGGGUUAGCCCCUUUGAUUCUCCCUGCGAAAACACACAUGCACACGUCUUUCAAGUUGACUCAAAACUCGCCCUAGCAAAGACAAGAAUUUACAAUUUGCAGGGAAGGUCGCCUUUGGGAGAGCAAACAUCAGGAAAUUGUCUCGGAUUUCCUAUUGAAAGUCCACUAGAUGAGAUUGAUUGGUUCCGUAUGAAAAUUCCUGAUUGGCAACAUCGAUUAUUGAUCUCGGAAUUAAUUAUCUAAUGGACGAUAAGUUCUGUUGGUUUGGACUAGGUUGGAAACCACUGCAGGACAACAUUCAGAAGCUUGAGGUACGAGUUAUACCCCUCUAACUAAGAGUUGAACAUCCAUGAACUUCUUGAAACUCAAUUAAUGACUACCCUAAGGAUUUGGAAUCAAGGAACAGG